GACGAACGCUGGCGGCGUGCUUAACACAUGCAAGUCGAACGGAAAGGCCCUGCUUUUGUGUGGUGCUCGAGUGGCUAACGGGUGAGUAACAAGUGAGUAACCUACCCUUUACUUUGGGAUAACUUCAGGAAACUGGGGCUAAUACCGGAUAGUAGCUCCUGCUGCCUGGUGGGGGUUGGAAAGUUUCGGCGGUUGGGGAUGGACUCGCGGCUUAUCAGCUUGUUGGUGGGGUAGUGGCUUACCAAGGCUUUGACGGGUAGCCGACCUGAGAGGGUGACCGGGAACAUGGGGACUGAGAGACGGACCAGACGGCUAUGGGAGGCAGCAGUGGGGAAUAUGGCACAAUGGGCGGAAGCCUGAGGCAGAAACGCCGCGUGUGGGAUGAAGGCCUUCGGGUUGUAAACCGAUUUCGCCUGAGACGAAGCGUGAGUGACGGUAAUGGGUAAAGAAGCACCGGCUAACUACGUG
rnacentral:rRNA from 1 species